AUUGAACGCUGGCGGCAGGCCUAACACAUGCAAGUCGAGCGGAUGAAGGGAGCUUGCUCCUGGAUUCAGCGGCGGACGGGUGAGUAAUGCCUAGGAAUCUGCCUGGUAGUGGGGGAUAACGUCCGGAAACGGGCGCUAAUACCGCAUACGUCCUGAGGGAGAAAGUGGGGGAUCUUCGGACCUCACGCUAUCAGAUGAGCCUAGGUCGGAUUAGCUAGUUGGUGGGGUAAAGGCCCACCAAGGCGACGAUCCGUAACUGGUCUGAGAGGAUGAUCAGUCACACUGGAACUGAGACACGGUCCAGACUCCUACGGGAGGCAGCAGUGGGGAAUAUUGGACAAAGGGCGAAAGCCUGAUCCAGCCAUGCCGCGUGUGUGAAGAAGGUCUUCGGAUUGUAAAGCACUUUAAGUUGGGAGGAAGGGCAGUAAGUUAAUACCUUGCUGUUUUGACGUUACCAACAGAAUAAGCACCGGCUAACUUCGUG
rnacentral:rRNA from 1 species